AAAUUUAAAAAAAAGUAAAAUUAAAAAUACCACCAAAUUAUGCAAGUGCGGGACCAAGGUCAUCAAUCUAUUCAUCAGCGUUGCCACUAUUUGCAUCUGCUCCAAGUCUAACUUGCGAAUUGAUGAGGUUAGCCAUGGAAUUUAUAGCUUCUAUUAAAGGAAUUUUAGAAAUCUCGGCCUUUUUUAGUUUCCCUUCCUUUUCUUUGAAAGUGCAAUUAAG
rnacentral:lncRNA from 1 species